rnacentral:rRNA from 1 species
UACAGAGGAGCCAAGCGUUGUCCGGAUUGACUGGGCGUAAAGCGCACGCAGGCGGACGCGCGCGUGGGGUGUGAAAUCUGGCCGCUUAACGGCCAGGCGCCAUCCCAUACGGCGGGUCUGGAGUGAUGCAGAGGUCGAUGGAAUUGCCGGUGUAGUGGUGAAAUGCGUAGAGAUCGGCAGGAACACCCAGGGGGAAACCAGUCGACUGGGCAUCUACUGACGCUGAGGUGCGAGAGCGUGGGAGCGACCGG